rnacentral:lncRNA from 13 species
AUGCUUAACACCCCAGCCAUCCUACAAUCUAAACUUGAUGCCCUCAACCUCACACAAAUGAUCAAUGAACCUACCAGGUACCUCCCCAAAGCCUUAAACGCGGGCACCCUCAUAGAUAUCAUCCUAACCAACUUACCCUCUAAAUACACCUCUGCUGUUUUCAACCAAGAUCUCAGCGAUCACUGCCUCAUUGCCUGCAUCCGUAAUGGGUCAGCGGUCAAACGACCUCCACUCAUCACUGUAAAACGCUCCCUGAAAUACUUCAGCGAGCAGGCCUUUCUAAUCGACCUGGCCGGGGUAUCCUGGAAGGACAUUGAUCUCAUCCCGUUAGUAGAGGAUGCCUGGAUAUUUUUUUUAAAUGCCUUCCUAACCAUCUUAAAUAAACAUGCCCCAUUCAAGAAAUGUAGAACCAGGAACAGAUAUAGCCCUUGGUUCUCCCCAGACCUGACUGCCCUUAACCAACACAAAAACAUGCUAUGGCGUUCUGCAUUAGCAUCGAACAGCCCCCGUGAUAUGCACCUGUUCAGGGAAGCUAGAAACCAUUAUACACAGGCAGUUAGAAAAGCCAAGGCUAGCCUUUUCAAGCAGAAAUUUGCUUCCUGCAACACUAACUCAAAAAAGUUCUGGGACACUGUAAAGUCCAUGGAGAAUAAGAACACCUCCUCCCAGCUGCCCACUGCACUGAAGAUAGGAAACACUGUCACCACUGAUAAAUCCACCAUAAUUGAGAAUUUCAAUAAGCAUUUUUCUACGGCUGGCCAUGCUUUCCACCUGGCUACUCCUACCCCGGUCAACAGCACUGCACCCCCCACAACAACUCGCCCAAGCCUUCCCCAUUUCUCCUUCUCCCAAAUCUGCUCAGCUGAUGUUCUGAAUGAGCUGGAAAAUCUGGACCCCUACAAAUCAGCCGGGCUAGACAAUCUGGACCCUUUCUUUCUAAAAUUAUCUGCCAAAAUUGUUGCCACCCCUAUUACUAGCCUGUUCAACCUCUCUUUCGUGUCGUCUGAGAUUCCCAAAGAUUGGAAAGCAGCUGCGGUCAUCCCCCUCUUCAAAGGGGGUGACACUCUUGACCCAAACUGCUACAGACCUAUAUCUAUCCUACCAUGCCUUUCUAAGGUCUUCGAAAGCCAAGUCAACAAACAGAUUACCGACCAUUUCGAAUCUCACCAUACCUUCUCUGCUAUGCAAUCUGGUUUCAGAGCUGGUCAUGGGUGCACCUCAGCCACGCUCAAGGUCCUAAANNNNNNNNNNUGUGAUUUGGAUUAA